rnacentral:rRNA from 1 species
CACACGACUCUCGGCAACGGAUAUCUCGGCUCUCGCAUCGAUGAAGAACGUAACGAAAUGCGAUACCUGGUGUGAAUUGCAGAAUCCCGCGAACCAUCGAGUCUUUGAACGCAAGUUGCGCCCGAGGCCACCUGGCCGAGGGCACGCCUGCCUGGGCGUCACGC